rnacentral:rRNA from 1 species
UACAGAGACUGCAAGCGUUAUUCGGAUUCAUUGGGCGUAAAGCGCGUGUAGGCGGUCCGGUAAGUCCGCUGUGAAAGUCGGGGGCUCAACCCUCGGAUGCCGGUGGAUACUGUCGGGCUUGAGUACGGGAGAGGCGAGUGGAAUUCCUGGUGUAGCGGUGAAAUGCGCAGAUAUCAGGAGGAACACCAAUUGCGAAGGCAGCUCGCUGGAACGUUACUGACGCUGAGACGCGAAAGCGUGGGGAGCAAACAGG